rnacentral:rRNA from 1 species
AUGAACGCUGGCGGCGUGUCUAAGGCAUGCAAGUUGAAUGCUUUGUAGCAAUACAAGGCAUGGCAAACGGGAGAGUAACACAUUGGUAACCUACCCUGAAGACGAGAAUAACCCUGCGAAAGCGGGAAUAAUACUCGAUGGUAGUGGGGGGAUAAAAGUCAUUCCCACUUAAAACUCCGGUGCUUCAGGAGGGACCUAUGGCUUAUCAGCUAGUUGGUAAGGUAAUGGCUUACCAAGGCUACGACGAGUAACGGGUGUGAGAGCAUGGCCCGUCUCACUGGGACUGAGACACUGCCCAGACUCCUACGGGAGGCUGCAGUCAAGAAUAUUCCUCAAUGGCCGAAAGGCUGAAGGAGCGACGCCGCGUGCAUGAAGAAGCCCUUCGGGGCGUAAAAUGCUUUUAACUGGGACGAAACAAUGACGGUACCAGUUGAAUAAGGGGCUGCUAACCUCGU